rnacentral:lncRNA from 1 species
AAAUUUUCUUACCAGGAAUAUAAAGAGCUGUGAUAAAAAUGUUCUUUCUUGAACACCAAGCCCAAAUAAUGAAAUAUUUGUAGUAAGCAUGUUAAGUGACAAAGAGGUUAUACCUCCUAUUGCAUAAUAAAAGCUACUGAAAUUGUAUUUUCUGAUUGUAUAACUCUCUGUGACUAAAACUUUUUCUCCAAAAGAAAAAUAUAGCCAACAAUACUAUGAAAUCUA